AGUGAAUAGAUACCCCGGUAGUCCACGCCGUAAACGAUGUUCACUAGGUGUUGGGGGUAUUGACCCUCUCAGUGCCGGAGCUAAACGCAUUAAGUGAACCGCCUGGGGAGUACGGUCGCAAGACUAAAACUCAAAGGGAUUGACGGGGGCCCGCACAAGCGGUGGAGCAUGUGGUUUAAUUCGAUGCAACGCGAAGAACCUUACCUGGACUUGACAUCCCGGGAAUCUCCUGGAAACAGGAGAGUGCCUUUCGGGGAACCCGGAGACAGGUGCUGCAUGGCUGUCGUCAGCUCGUGUCGUGAGAUGUUGGGUUAAGUCCCGCAACGAGCGCAACCCUUGUCUUUAAUUGCCAGCAUUCAGUUGGGCACUUUAGAGAGACUGCCGGUGUUAAGCCGGAGGAAGGUGGGGAUGACGUCAAGUCCUCAUGGCCUUUAUGUCCAGGGCUACACACGUGCUACAAUGGAUGGUACAAAGAGCAGCGACCUCGCGAGAGUGAGCAAAUCUCAAAAACCCAUCCUCAGUUCGGAUUGGAGU
rnacentral:rRNA from 1 species